AGCAGCCGCGGUAAUUCCAGCUCCAAUAGCGUAUAUUAAAGUUGUUGCAGUUAAAAAGCUCGUAGUUGAAUUUCAGGCCUGGCUGGACGGUCCGCCCUCUGGGUGAGAACUGUCUGUGGUCGGGUCCUACCUUCUGGCGAAGCGUCAUGGCCUUAACCGGCCGUGGCGGGGAACCAGGACUUUUACUGUGAAAAAAUUAGAGUGUUCAAAGCAGGCAGUCGCUUGAAUACAUUAGCAUGGAAUAAUGGAAUAGGACAGUGGUUCUAUUUGUUGGUUUCUAGGACCGUUGUAAUGAUUAAUAGGGAUAGUUGGGG
rnacentral:rRNA from 1 species